GAUGAACGCUGGCGGCGUGCUUAACACAUGCAAGUCGAACGGAAAGGCCCAAGCUUGCUUGGGUACUCGAGUGGCGAACGAGUGAGUAACACGUGGGUGAUCUGCCCUGCACUUCGGGAUAAGCCUGGGAAACUGGGUCUAAUACCGGAUAGGACCACUUCUUGGAUGUUGUGGUGGAAAGUUUUUUCGGUGUGGGAUGAGCUCGCGGCCUAUCAGCUUGUUGGUGGGGUAAUGGCCUACCAAGGCGUCGACGGGUAGCCGGCCUGAGAGGGUGUACGGCCACAUUGGGACUGAGAUACGGCCCAGACUCCUACGGGAGGCAGCAGUGGGGAAUAUUGCACAAUGGGCGCAAGCCUGAUGCAGCGACGCCGCGUGGGGGAUGACGGCCUUCGGGUUGUAAACUCCUUUCGCUAGGGACGAAGCGUUUUUGUGACGGUACCUGGAGAAGAAGCACCGGCUAACUACGUG
rnacentral:rRNA from 1 species